rnacentral:rRNA from 1 species
GUGAACGCUGGCGGUAGGCCUAACACCUGCAAGUCGCACGGCAGCACAGUAAGAGCUUGCUCUUACGGGUGGCGAGUGGCGGACGGGUGAGGAAUACAUCGGAAUCUACUUUUUCGUGGGGGAUAAUGUAGGGAAACUUACGCUAGUACCGCAUACGACCUACGGGUGAAAGCAGGGGAUCUUCGGACCUUGCGCGAUUGAAUGAGCCGAUGUCGGAUUAGCUAGUUGGCGGGGUAAAGGCCCACCAAGGCGACGAUCCGUAGCUGGUCUGAGAGGAUGAUCAGCCACACUGGAACUGAGACACGGUCCAGACUCCUACGGGAGGCAGCAGUGGGGAAUAUUGGACAAUGGGCGCAAGCCUGAUCCAGCCAUACCGCGUGGGUGAAGAAGGCCUUCGGGUUGUAAAGCCCUUUUGUUGGGAAAGAAAAGCAGCAGGUUAAUACCCCGCUGUUCUGACGGUACCCAAAGAAUAAGCACCGGCUAACUUCGUG